GAUUACAGGCGUGAGCCACUGCGCCUGGCCUCUACUAAUUUCUAGCUUCUAACAUUGUAGAUUUGAAGUCAAAUGACAGAUUGUCUUUCUUCCUUUAUGAGUAAAUUUUUUUUCUGCCUCGAAGUUUUUAUGAGUUUUUCAUCAUUCUUGAAGUUAAAACCAUCGGGAAUUCAGUGAGCCCUUACAGUCUGCAGAUGCAUAUCUUUCUUCAGCUCAAGAUCAUUGAGAACAUCUUUGUUACUGGCACUGUCUACAUGGUAUUUUGAGCAGAGUUUUGCAGUGUUUCCAAGUGCUGCAGUUUCUUCCCACAGAGAGAUGGCCACUACAGACUCUAGCUGCCAGAAGAAUUUCCCCCAGAUCUGGAAAGUUUCUACAGUUGCUUACCUCGAAUAUUCACAUCCAGAGAGGUACUUCCUCCAAAGUGCGGUUUUCCAACAACUCCAUAAUGAUAACGUGGGAACUGGACCUGGCUCUGCCAACAGAUGUCAAUACUUUCAUGAUGAAGAGAAAUAGCGAUUCCUUCAUGAUCUGCUUCAAAAUAUUGGAAUAGA
rnacentral:lncRNA from 1 species